UUGAGUCCAUUCAUAUUCGUGAACUAAAUUUGCUUCGGUGGCUGCAAGGCCGCCGGAUAUUUAACUCUAUUGAUUUGUCUGACUGAAAAUUAUAAUUUUA
rnacentral:misc_RNA from 1 species